AUUAAAAAAAAUCGUUCAUUAUUAGCGUCGUUUUAAAAGCCUCACUUAUGCUUUAUGUGGCCUUUUAAAACCGACGGUAAAGAUAUUGUGAGUGUGACAAAACGACGCUAAUCCUCCUAUUUUUCACUUACCCCCAAACAGAUGACACUUAUUUCAUUUCAUUCGAUCAGCUCUCUUUUUCCCUCUCUUUUUCCCUCUCUUUUUCUCUGAACAGCGAUCUCUUUCCCUCUCUUUCUCUCUUGCUUCCUCCUCAACCUAAACCCUAAUUUCUCUCUCUGCUCCAUUUGACUUCACCCACCGAACAACCCACUUUUCCACCCCUUCAUCACUAAUCCCUAUCAGAUUUAUCAAGAGACCAAGCCAUUAUCCUAUUGUGAUCGAUCGAAAUUAGCCUACAGGUAUAUAUUUAAUAAGAUAUAUAUCUAGAUGUGAUAAAGAAAAAGUGAUUUAGGAAAAUGUCUUAAUUGCCACUAAUUGAACCAAAACUACAAUUCAUUGUUCAAAAGAAAAAAAGAAUUGUAGUCAUUUCAAUUUUUCCAUUGACUUGUUAUUGAAUUAAUUUUAUUGAAAUGCACUUUUCUUUCUUUCCAACAUGAUUUAGCAUUUACAGAGAAGCUGGAGCGUGUUAUAAUUCCUGUGGCCGUUGAUUCUACUCAGCAGGAGGCUUUAUCAGUUUUGAAGAAACUGAAGGUGUGCUUAACUUUUAUUGUCUUCUAGUUUUCCAUCCAUUAAGAGUUCGUGUAUACUUAUGCAUUUUUUUUUCUGUUGUGUAAUGCCUAAACAAUUUAAAGAAUUUAAGCCACCAGAACUGUUUGAUAUAACUUAAACUAUGAAGUCUGGACACUAGAGGGAUAAAUUUAUGAGUUUAAUUUGGAUAUUCCUGUUAUAGGUAGUCGGUUGAUUGGAAAUAUAGUUUCUUAGAACUUCGAAAUAUUUCAUAACUAUAGGGAUUUCCAUACAUUUGGUUUGUUAAAUUUUCAAAUUUUCUACUUUCGAUA